CCCACACUCUCUUUUGGUUUUUGAGCAAUAUAGCUUCCCAUAGUAACUAGUAUCUUUCACUUCUUCAAUCCACAAACCUCUCUCUCUUCACGGGUAAUCAUCUCUUGCUUCUGAUUGCAAAUUAUUAUAUGCUUAUGAAGCCAAACACAGUUUUUUAGGUAAAGGUGCUAUAAUGGAUGCGAGAUUCGAAGAUGGAGAUCAUUCAAAUGUGUAGGAAGACUUAAACAUGUCUGGAGAUACAACUGCUUAAUGGUAAAAAAUUUGGCAUAUAGGCUUAUAUAGUUGCAUUUGAAUGUGCGAAUGAGAUAAAACUUAGCAAUUGUUGAACUUUUAUUAAUUAUUAAAUUGAGAUAUCACAAUAUUACAAAGGUGUUAUAUCAACAAGCACAUAUAUGGAAAUAAGGAGUUUGUCAUUGUGAUUGUUGUCGGUUCAUUCCUUCACGGAAGCUAGCUAGCAUUAGCAUGGAUUGUUGAACAUGGUUGACAAAUAGCACGCGUCGCCAUUAACGGAAGCAAAGUUGAUCAUAUCGGUGAAAAAAAAAUUCCGGUUAUUAACCUUGUUGAUGAUUUAAACCAAAAACCGAAGUGUAAUAAACCUUGUGAUUAUUGUAAGUUUGUUACAUUGAAAUUUCUCAUGAAAGAUAUAGAAACUUAUUAUAUUGUUCCAACACAAUUUGGGAACUCAAUUAAGAGUAUAUUUUGCAUAGUAACAAAGAAUAUGUGAACCAAAAAUAUUCUUAAGUCCUGAAAGAUAAUAUUGAUAUUGUUCAUGAGUGGGUAUGUGUGUAUCAAUUAAGUAAGAAAAAAUAUAUAUAAGAGAUUGAAUGUGUUAGGAAUCCGUCUGCAACUAACUCUUGGCCGUUCAAUCCGUCUGCAACUAACUCUAAAGUUUUCAAUGUAAUUCAGAUUUUUCCCUCGUAUACUACAAUGAGCUCAUUUUCACCCUAUCCUUUGUGAUUUAUUUUUGCAUAUUGUAUUGAAUCCUUAGUGCAAAUACUUUAAAACUGAGCUAAAUAUAUUUUUAAAAAAUUUUCUCAUACAUGUAAUAAAUUAAUGUGUUAGAACUAUUAUU